rnacentral:rRNA from 1 species
AGGCUCAGUAACACGUCGGUAACUUGCCCUACGGUCAGGCAUAAUCUCGGGAAACUGAGUGUAAUACCUGAUAGAGAACGGAUACUGGAAUGUUCCAUUCUUGAAACUCGUGCCGUAGGAUAGGCCGGCGGCGGAUUAGGCAGUUGGUGAGGUAACGGCUCACCAAACCUAUGAUCCGUACGGGCCAUGAGAGUGGUCGCCCGGAGAGGGACACUGAAAUACUGGUCCCAGCCCUACGGGGUGCAGCAGGUUCGAGUUCUCCACACUGCAUGAAAAUGCGAUGGGGGAAUCCCACGUGCUUAUGUCUAACAUAGGCUUUUGCCAAGACCAGAAGCCUUGGCGAAUAAGGGGUGGGCAAGACCGGUGCCAGCCGCCGCGGUAACACCGGCGCCCCGAGUGGCACUCGCGAUUAUUGGGCCUAAAGCGUCCGUAGCCGGAUUGGUAAAUCCUCUGUGAAAUCGUACUGCUCAACGGUACGGCGCGCAGGGGACACUGCUAGUCUAGGGACCGGGAGGGGUCAGAGGUGUGCCGUGGGGACCGGUAAAAUGGGAUAAUCCACGGUAGACCACCAAUGGCGAAGGCAUCUGACCAGAACGGAUCCGACGGUGAGGGACGAAAGCCAGGGGAGCGAACCGGAUUAGAUACCCGAGUAGUCCUGGCCGUAAACGCUGCGAGCAAGGUGUGGCUUGUCCCAAGAGGACCGGCCGUGUCGAAAUGAAGAUGA